rnacentral:rRNA from 1 species
UACGUAGGGGGCGAGCGUUGUCCGGAUUCAUUGGGCGUAAAGGGCCAGUAGGCGGCCAACUAAGUCCGACGUGAAAUCCCAAGGCUUAACCUUGGAACUGCGUCGGAUACUGGAUGGCUUGAAUUCGGGAGAGGGAUGCAGAAUUCCAGGUGUAGCGGUGAAAUGCGUAGAUAUCUGGAGGAAUACCGGUGGCGAAGGCGGCAUCCUGGACCGACAUUGACGCUGAACGGCGAAAGCUAGGGGAGCAAACGGG